rnacentral:rRNA from 1 species
UACAGAGGAUGCGAGCGUUAUCCGGAUUUAUUGGGUUUAAAGGGUGCGUAGGCGGGCUUUUAAGUCAGCGGUAAAAAUUCGGGGCUCAACCCCGUCCGGCCGUUGAAACUGGGGGUCUUGAGUGGGCGAGAAGAAGGCGGAAUGCGUGGUGUAGCGGUGAAAUGCAUAGAUAUCACGCAGAACCCCGAUUGCGAAGGCAGCCUUCCGGCGCCCUACUGACGCUGAGGCACGAAAGUGCGGGGAUCGAACAGG